rnacentral:rRNA from 1 species
CCUGGCAGUCAGAGGCGAUGAAGGGCGUGCUAAUCUGCGAUAAGCGCCGGUAAGGUGAUAUGAACCGUUAUAACCGGCGAUACCCGAAUGGGGAAACCCAGUGUGAUUCGUCACACUAUCAUUAACUGAAUCCAUAGGUUAAUGAGGCGAACCGGGGGAACUGAAACAUCUAAGUACCCCGAGGAAAAGAAAUCAACCGAGAUUCCCCCAGUAGCGGCGAGCGAACGGGGAGGAGCCCAGAGCCUGAAUCAGCAUGUGUGUUAGUGGAAGCGUCUGGAAAGGCGCGCGAUACAGGGUGACAGCCCCGUACACAAAAGCGCAUGUGCUGUGAGCUCGAUGAGUAGGGCGGGACACGUGGUAUCCUGUCUGAAUAUGGGGGGACCAUCCUCCAAGGCUAAAUACUCCUGACUGACCGAUAGUGAACCAGUACCGUGAGGGAAAGGCGAAAAGAACCCCGGCGAGGGGAGUGAAAAAGAACCUGAAACCGU